GUUUACUUUCUGUGUUUACUAGAGUGGACCCAGAGUAAACCCAGAGUAAACCCCAAGUGGACACAGAGAGUAAACCCCGAUCAGAAGUAUACUCUAAUAGCAGACGCUACAUGUGUAUUCGGAAUAUACAAGGGGGCGGGAAUUAUAGGCAGUAGGAUGAUAAGAUAAAAUACAGGUCCGCUUCACACUUCAGUGCGUAUAGUUCACUCCAAAACCAAUUCUCGAGUAAACCCAAAGUAAACCAUGAGUAAACCCAAAGUAAACCCCGAGUGGACCCAAAUUUUCAAAAAGUAAACCCAAAGUAAACCCAGAAAGUAAACCCGGGGUUUACUCUGGUGUUAAGUUGGGUCUGAUCGGUACUGUAUCAUAAUAAAGUAUCAUAUGGCUCAAUAUAAUAUCAAAUGAUACACCACGUUCAGAGUUGGGGUCAAUUACGUUGAAAAGUAAUUAAUUACUUUCAAAUACAUUGACAGUUUUAUCAAUUCUUGCAAUUACAAUUACAUUGAUUUUUUAAAAUGUAAUUAAUUACUCUCAAUUACUUUGAUGAAUGUAAUUAAUUACAUUUCAAAUACAUUAGUUUUAUUAGUUACCCCAUCCCUGGGCACGUUGUUGUAACAUGAUAUAUUGUAUCAAUCAUAGUAUGGAUGAUAUAUAAUAUAUAAUUUUAUCACAUGAUAUUGUGUCAUAUGAAAUGAUGCAUUGUUGUAUUAAAUCAUAUUGUACCAUUUGAUACAAUAUCUUAUUAUGUAAUUAUAUAAUAGAUUAUCGCAUAAAAAAAAUUGGGACACAAUAUCAUAUGAUAAUAUAGUGUGCCAUAAAAUAUAAUAUCAUGAUAUGUAUCAAAUAUCAGGCUUAAGGCGAAUUACAUUCUAAAGUAAUGCAUUACAUUACCAUAUUUCAGGAAUUAGGGCAUUGCAUUACCAUUACUUAAUUUUCUUAAAGUAAUGCAUUUCAUUACCAUUACAUGAAUAAAGUAAUGCAUGACUAGUACCAUUACUUUGUGAAAAGUUAUUAAGUUUCAAAAAAGUAAUUUAAAAGCUAAAUAAAGAGUUUUUGUGAAUAGUUCAAAAAUGAAACAUGCUUGAACAUAUUUAUAGGUUCAUGUUCACUAUCAGGUUUAAUUUAAGCUUAUGAAAGAAGAACAAUGACGGAGUUUAAUUGCGUAUUUUUAAAACCGCAAUGUAUUAUUGUGUGUCAAUGUAAAUAGAAUUACAUGUGUACAUGUAUAAGGUUUUCUUUUUUGAUGUCAGUUUUGUUUCAAUUGUCAAUGUAAAAAUAUUUUUAAAAAAGUCUUCUUUCGUAUAUGUAACUCAAAUGCUUAUAUACUUGAGUACUCUAAUAAAAAUACAUUUUAUAU
rnacentral:sRNA from 1 species